rnacentral:misc_RNA from 1 species
ACAUUAUUUAUAAUCCCAUUAGAACUUACUAAUGGAUUUGAGAAGAUUAUGUGGGCCUACCCAUUAUUUAUGAGUGCUGUCAAUUAAUUUAUCCUUGCCAACUAAACACUGCAUUAGUAAAGGACAUGCUAUGAGUCCUAUUCCCUUGAAUACAGUUGCUACCAAUGGAAAGAAAGACCUUUAUUCCCUCAUGGGGUUAGGGGAGUUGUGGUUUGAGUUGCUGAAAUUUUGCUUUGUGCCUUGUUAAAUGAACUUAGAUCAGCAAUUCAUCUGUAAAUGGAUUAACCAUUAUAGAAAUAGAAGUUCAAGAACAAAUCAAACAAAUAGAGACAAGGUGCUCAAUUGCACAUUUCAACAUAGAUUGAGGGCUUAUUUGGGUACUUGACCAUUACAAUUCUAUUCAACAAAUUAAAUAUUUGCUAUUUCUUUCAUCUUUUUCCUUUAUUCAUUUGACAAGACAAUUUGCCACUCAUUAGCUUAGUUGCAGUGAAAUUAAAACUGUUGUGCCAGCUAUCUAACACCAAGGAGCAA